UAUCAAGGGAUACGUCUACACUAUGUGUCGAAACGCAGACCAUUGAUAAUACAUGCUCUUCUGAGACACAAACACCUAGGGAGCCAACGACGAGAACACUUGCUACACAGACAAAGCAGUGUAUUCAAAACCGUAAAAGAUCCGUGAAAGCCUCGCAGGAGCCAACGACAACAGUUGCUACACAGACAAAGCCGUGGAUUCAAACCGUCCCCAAGAAAGCCGUUAAAAGAUCUGUGAAAGCCUCCAUUACCCGAUUCCACACCCGUACAGACCCUACAGACAUCUGCUGCAGCAGCAGCAGCAGCAGCAGCAGCAGCAGCAGCAGCAGCAGCAUCAUCAACAAUACACCCAACGACAUCCUCGUCGAUGACAUUGUGAUAAAUUCAGGUU